rfam:Glossina palpalis gambiensis isolate 146720 unplaced genomic scaffold Scaffold715, whole genome shotgun sequence.
CAUAUGAUGAAAUUAUUUUGGUCCGUGUUUAUGAUUUUAUUUGAUUUUAUAAUUAUCGCUUUCAAUUUACUGAUAUUU